GCUGUAGCCCAGUGACAGAGUACCUGCUUUGCAUGCAGAAGGUCCCGGGUUCGAUAUCCAGCAUAUUCA